UAUAAACUCUAAGGCGAAACGAAAGUAACGUAGCCGAUCCGGGAGCUUCUUUCUCGCUAAUUUAUUGGCGAGUCGGUCGUUUCUCUCGGCGCAGGCUCGAGGCCCGCUAACGUCGGCUUUGAGGCAUUAUCGGUCGGACGUCUAUGCGCGUCGGUGUCGUUCGUUUCCAUUCCGUGGUUACGUGCGCGCAUCGUGCGCAGCGCCGGCUCCUCUUAGUCGUCGGGCGGGCACUCCGAGCGCAUAAGUUAGUACCCGAAAGAUGGUGAUCUAUGCUUGGCGAGGAUGAAGCCAGAGGAAACUCUGGUGGAAGUUCGCAGCGAUUCUGACGUGCAAAUCGAUCGUCGGAGCUGAGUAUAGGGGCGAAAGACCAAUCGAACCAUCUAGUAGCUGGUUCCCUCCGAAGUUUCCCUCAGGAUAGCUGGGACUUAAGCAACGGAGUUUCAUCCGGUAAAGAGAAUGAUUAGAGGUCCUUGGGGAUGAAAUUUCCUCAGCCCAUUCUCAAACUCUAAAUGGGUGAGAAGUCUGGCUUGCUCGAUUGAAGCCACGACGUANAAUCCGAGUCCCUAGUGGGCCUAUUUUGGUAAGCAGAACUGGCGCUGUGGGAUGAACCAAAAAUCGGGUUAAGGGGCCAAAGUGUCNGUCAAUAAAGAUACCUUUAAAGGCGUUGGUCGCUCUUGACAGCAGGACGGUGGCCAUGGAAGUUGGCAUCCGCUAA
rnacentral:rRNA from 1 species